rnacentral:rRNA from 1 species
AUUGAACGCUGGCGGCAUGCUUUACACAUGCAAGUCGAACGGUAACAGGCCGCAAGGUGCUGACGAGUGGCGAACGGGUGAGUAAUGCACCGGAACGUGCCCAGUCGUGGGGGAUAACUACUCGAAAGAGCAGCUAAUACCGCAUACGAUCUAUGGAUGAAAGCGGGGGACCGUAAGGCCUCGCGCGAUUGGAGCGGCCGAUGUCAGAUUAGGUAGUUGGUGGGGUAAAGGCUCACCAAGCCAACGAUCUGUAGCUGGUCUGAGAGGACGACCAGCCACACUGGAACUGAGACACGGCCCAGACUCCUACGGGAGGCAGCAGUGGGGAAUUUUGGACAAUGGGCGCAAGCCUGAUCCAGCAAUGCCGCGUGCAGGAAGAAGGCCUUCGGGUUGUAAACUGCUUUUGUACGGAACGAAACGGCUCUGGUUAAUACCCGGGGCUAAUGACGGUACCGUAAAAAUAAGCACCGGCUAACUACGUG